GACAGUUACGCUUCAACAUUUGAAAAGCAUUGGAGAUCAAGAUUUCCAAUAGAAGUGUAAACCAUGAAAACUAUGUACUGGUUUGCAAUAAUAGUGAUAAAGACAUACAUUGCCACAACCUGCCCAGCAUAGGGUCCAAAGCUGGGGAAAGUGGUGGGAGAUGAAGAAAAAUGAGAAACAUGAAGAACACCAAGAUUAUGCUUGAAAGCUGGAACCAAGUGGAGCCAUAGCCUGUUGGGAGCUAAUGGCUGCCUGGCAUCCAGCAUGCUCUUUAUUUAUAGCGUAAGACAAACAGGAAGAGAAGGCGGGGGUAACUAGUGCUACGUGGCCUAGGCUGAAUGCAGCAUGCUGAACAUAGUGUGAUUCAUGUCUUGUGAUCGGGCCAUGCGCAGAAAGGGAACAAGGAAGAAAGAUGCAUAAUGUAACUGUCGCUGGGGCUGUGCCAUCCAGGGUCUACAAUUGAACAGACGAUGUGUAUUUGACUAGCUAGUCUAUGGAGGAGAAAGGGAGUAGGGAGGAGUCGAAGGACCAUGUUCAGGCUCAACCCACAGCAAUACAUAGAGAUUAUCAUGAUUUCUUUUGUAGUUUAACACAAUACGCUGCAAUGGAUUUUCUUUUUCUUUUUUUUUUUUUUAGUACCAGGGAUUGAACUUGGGACCUUGUAUUUGCGAGGCAGCCGGCAGCACCACUGAACUAAAUCCCGGGCCCUGGAAUGGAUUUUCAUGCAUAUAAUUUAUAAACCUUUAAAAGGAGUCAGGAACUCAAGGUUCUGCCUGGAAAAUUACUUGAGGUGUAUCAAGUGAAUAGUUAUAUACUAAAUGAGCCACAACCCUAGGAAAGCUUCAACGGGCUGAGAUUCCAAGGUGGCUCAUUCCCCUACCAGGUGGGUUUUGCUGGCAGUUGGCUGAGAGCUUAGGUGGGGCUGCCAGCCAGGGCAUGUACCUAUGGCCUCUCUAUGUGUCCUCAACUUCCUCACAGUGUGGUUGCCUCAAGUAGUUGGGCUUAUGUGACAGGUCAGGGAGAUAGAAGUUUCUCAGUGGACAGGUAGAAGCUGUAUUAUUCCUUAUAAUGAGAUUCUCAUAGGCCUUAUUAGUUUCUUUUUCUAUAUCACUGCAGUUGCAAUUGAGUCAGAAGCCCAUAUAGAUGCCUGGAGGGUAGGCAUAGACCCCAUGUUUGGUCAAAGGAAAGUCCAAAAUUUCUAGACAUUGAAAAAAA